rnacentral:rRNA from 1 species
GUUAGGAAUAUUCGUCAAUGGGGGAAACCCUGAACGAGCAAUGCCGCGUGAAGGAUGACGGUCCUCUGGAUUGUAAACUUCUGUUGUUAGGGAAGAACGACCUAGGUAGGAAAUGACCUAGGAGUGACGGUACCUUUCAAGAAAGCUCCGGCUAACUACGUGCCAGCAGCCGCGGUAAUACGUAGGGAGCGAGCGUUAUCCGGAUUUAUUGGGUGUAAAGGGUGCGUAGGCGGUUUCUUAAGUCUGUAGUCUAAGCCCGGAGCUUAACUCCGGUUCGCUACAGAAACUGAGUUACUUGAGUAUGGUAGAGGCAAGUGGAAUUUCUAGUGUAGCGGUUAAAUGCGUAGAUAUUAGAAGGAACACCGGUGGCGAAGGCGACUUGCUGGGCCAUCACUGACGCUGAGGCACGAAAGCGUGGGGAGCAAAUAGGAUUAGAAACCCUAGUAGUCC